rnacentral:tRNA from 2 species
CGGGGCGUAGCGCAGUUGGCUAGCGCACUUGUAUGGGGUGCAAGGGGUCGGAGGUUCAAGUCCUCUCGCCCCGA